rnacentral:rRNA from 1 species
UACGUAGGUGGCAAGCGUUGUCCGGAUUUACUGGGCGUAAAGAGCGCGCAGGCGGUGCGAUCAGUCGAAUGUGAAAGCCCCCGGCUCAACUGGGGAGGGUCAUUCGAUACUGUCGGACUCGAAGGCAGGAGAGGGAAGCGGAAUUCCCGGUGUAGUGGUGAAAUGCGUAGAUAUCGGGAGGAACACCAGUGGCGAAGGCGGCUUCCUGGCCUGUUCUUGACGCUGAGGCGCGAAAGCUAGGGGAGCAGACGGG